rnacentral:lncRNA from 1 species
UGCCAGAAGUCCCCAGGCAGGAGUGUGGUGGGACAUCCGGCUGGGUCUGGAUGAAGUGCUUCAUGCCUGUAAUCCAAGCACUUUGAGAGGCUGAGGCGGGCAGAUGGCUUGAGCCCAGGAGUUUGAGACCAGCCUGGAAAACAUAGAGAAACCCCGUCUCAAUAUAAGAAGAAGAAGAAAAAGAAAAAAAAAAAAUCAAAAACGAAAACAACACAAAUUUUAGAGUAAGUAUUUUAAGUUCCACAAAAACCUGGUUAGGAUUUGGAUAGCAAUUUCUUUAGUUCUACAAAUCAAUUUGGAAAAAAUUAAUUAAUUUGGGAAGAAUUCAUUUUGAGUCUUCUAAUCCAUGAACAUGGUAUCUCCAUUUGUUUAGACCAUCUUUAAUGCC